AGUGAACGCUGGCGGUAGGCCUAACACAUGCAAGUCGAGCGGCAGCACAGUAAGAGCUUGCUCUUACGGGUGGCGAGUGGCGGCCGGGUGAGGAAUACAUCGUAAUCUACUUUUUCGUGGAGGAUAACGUAGGGAAACUUACGCUAAUACCGCAUACGACCUACUGGUGAAAUCAGGAGAUCUUCGGACCUUGCGCGAUUUGAUGCGCCGAGGUCGGCUUAGCUAGUUGGCGUGGUAAAGGCCCACCAAGGCGACGAUCCGUAGCUGGUCUGAGAGGAUGAUCAGCCACACUGGAACUGAGACACGGUCCAGACUCCUACGGGAGGCAGCAGUGGGGAAUAUUGGACAAUGGGCGCAAGCCUGAUCCAGCCAUACCGCGUGGGUGAAGAAGGCCUUCGCGUUGUAAAGCCAUUUUGUUGGGAAAGAAAAGCAGCAGGGUAAUACCCCGCUGUUCUGACGGUACCCAAAGAAUAAGCACCGGCUAACUUCGUG
rnacentral:rRNA from 1 species